rnacentral:rRNA from 1 species
AUGGGCGACGAGCGCGUGAAGGCGGAGGCGCUGCAGAUCCUGGGCCUGUUCCAGGUGCUCCCCCGCCUCGUCGUCUUCGACCUCGACUACACCCUGUGGCCCUUCUACUGCGAGUGCCGCUCCAAGAGGGAGUCGCCCAGCCUGUACCGCCACGCCAAGGGCAUCAUGUGCGCGCUCAAGGAGAAGGGGGUCGACAUGGCCAUUGCGUCGCGCUCGCCCACCUCCGAUAUCGCCAGGGUCUUCAUUGACAAGCUCGAGCUCCAGCCCAUGUUCGUCGCACAGGAAAUAUUCUCCAGCUGGACUCACAAGACGGAGCAUUUCCAAAAGAUCCACAGAAAAACUGGGGUUCCGUACAAGUCCAUGCUGUUCUUUGACGACGAGGACAGGAAUAUUCAAUCGGUAUCGAAAAUGGGAGUUACAAGUGUUCUAGUAAACAACGGAUUGAAUCUCGACAUGUUUAAGUUGGGCCUCAGUAAUUUCGCUACUACUGUUGCUGCACCUGAACCCACACCUGCACCAGAGGACAAGUAA